UACGAAGGGGGCUAGCGUUGUUCGGAAUCACUGGGCGUAAAGGGCGCGUAGGCGGCUUUAUAAGUCGGGGGUGAAAGCCUGUGGCUCAACCACAGAAUUGCCUUCGAUACUGUAGAGCUUGAGACCGGAAGAGGUAAGUGGAACUGCGAGUGUAGAGGUGAAAUUCGUAGAUAUUCGCAAGAACACCAGUGGCGAAGGCGGCUUACUGGUCCGGAUCUGACACUGAGGCGCGAAAGCGUGGGGAGCAAACAGG
rnacentral:rRNA from 1 species